rnacentral:rRNA from 1 species
GAACGGGUGAGUAACACGUGGGUGAUCUGCCCUGCACUUUGGGAUAAGCCUGGGAAACUGGGUCUAAUACCGAAUAUGACCACGCUCUUCAUGGGGUGUGGUGGAAAGCUUUUGCGGUGUGGGAUGGGCCCGCGGCCUAUCAGCUUGUUAGUGGGGUAAUGGCCUACCAAGGCGACGACGGGUAGCCGGCCUGAGAGGGUGACCGGCCACACUGGGACUGAGAUACGGCCCAGACUCCUACGGGAGGCAGCAGUGGGGAAUAUUGCACAAUGGGCGCAAGCCUGAUGCAGCGACGCCGCGUGAGGGAUGACGGCCUUCGGGUUGUAAACCUCUUUCACCAGGGACGAAGCGCAAGUGACGGUACCUGGAGAAGAAGCACCGGCCAACUACGUGCCAGCAGCCGCGGUAAUACGUAGGGUGCGAGCGUUGUCCGGAAUUACUGGGCGUAAAGAGCUCGUAGGUGGUUUGUCGCGUUGUUCGUGAAAACUCACAGCUUAACUGUGGGCGUGCGGGCGAUACGGGCAGACUAGAGUACUGCAGGGGAGACUGGAAUUCCUGGUGUAGCGGUGGAAUGCGCAGAUAUCAGGAGGAACACCGGUGGCGAAGGCGGGUCUCUGGGCAGUAACUGACGCUGAGGAGCGAAAGCGUGGGGAGCGAACAGGAUUAGAUACCCUGGUAGUCCACGCCGUANACGGUGGGUACUAGGUGUGGGUUCCUUCCUUGGGAUCCGUNNNGUAGCUAACGCAUUAAGUACCC